rnacentral:rRNA from 1 species
GCUUGUCUCAAAGAUUAAGCCAUGCAUGUCUAAGUAUAAACUGCUUAUACUGUGAAACUGCGAAUGGCUCAUUAAAUCAGUUAUAGUUUAUUUGAUGGUACCUCUACUCGGAUAACCGUAGUAAUUCUAGAGCUAAUACGUGCGCAAAUCCCGACUUCUGGAAGGGACGUAUUUAUUAGAUAAAAGGCCAGCCGGGCUCACGCCCGACCUGCGGUGACUCAUGAUAACUUCACGAAUCGCACGGCCUUGUGCCGGCGAUGUUUCAUUCAAAUUUCUGCCCUAUCAACUUUCGAUGGUAGUGUAUUGGACUACCAUGGCGGUGACGGGUAACGAAGAAUAAGGGUUCGGUUUCGGAGAGGGAGCCUGAGAGAUGGCUACCACAUCCAAGGAAGGCAGCAGG